GAUUACUUCAUAGUUUAGGCUGUCACGCAGCAUUGUUUUUUCCCAGACGCAAGAAAAAUCCUGGAUGUCCCUAUGAAUAAAAAGAAAAUCCAUGUUUUGAAGAAAUAUGCUUAAGUGAUUGGAAUUUACCUUGAAAGUUAAACAUGGCCAGAGAAGGAAUAGGAAUCAUCAUGGCUUUCCUGCUGACCCAUUUGUGUGUUGU